CCUCUGGCAACCAGGGUAGCAUGGCCCCGAAUGUUCUAAAAAGUGCAAAGCGGCUUUGAUAGUUUGAUCAUCAAAACAUAGUUUGAUCAUUUGAUAGUUUGAUCAUCAAAACAUCAAACAAAAUGGGAACAUAAUGCGAACAAAAUGCGAACAAACAUCAAAACAAAAUGCGAACAAACAUCGAACAAAAUGGCGGAUUCAAAAAAUUCAUGGGAUUGUCAUAAACGGCUGCGAAAACCUGAAAAUGUGCAAUAAAAUUUGUUUGAUGGCAUUUUCUGUUACAAGCUGCCAACUGAAAUUUUCAUAGAGUAUGUGCAUUAAUGAAGAGAUGUUGAAGAACUCUGAUUUUGGCUUUUAUAUAGAUGAAAAUUUAUAUACAGAUCCAAUACAAGGGGUGGUCAUACCAGGAAUUACUCCAUUGUGCUAAACUGGCAAUACUACCAAGCAGGUGUUUAUAGGGCAUAGCUACACUGAUGUUUAAGGUUAGGCAUGAACUGGCAUCAAGUACCCUCUCCGAAUUGUUUGUCUUCAGAAAUAACGUUAUUCUUUGAGUAAUAGUGACUUUGACAUCACAAGGAUUGAAUUGUAUGCUACGGACAAGACGUCUAGGUCCAACUAUUUAGUCAAAACUUGAAAAGGAGACCAGAUCAUCUACAAGCCUGAUAGGUAGUUUUGAAUUUUUGAAUUUUGCCAACUUUAAGCUUCUUUCACUCAAAACCGACUUGAAAAUUUGCACUACUCGCUUAAAUGUCUUAUGUAUACUUUUUUGUGGUCUUUCUGAUGAUAUAGUUUUUUUUGUGAAAAGUAAACUUGAAAUUUUGCAAUUUUAGUCAACAUGGUAGGGUUGGGCGAUAUUAAAAAAAUCAUCUCACGAUUAUUGUGGAGGAAAUUAUCGCGAUAUUCGAUAAUAUCACGAUAAAUGCAAUAAAAACAAUGACAAGUAAAACAACAAAUGAAAGUAAUAAGAAGGCUUUUUCUUGUCUAAUGUUUACUGUUCAUAAACCUGAGGCCAAAAAAAAAAAUAUGUGGGUUUCCGGUUUCCCGACCCUACCCAGCUUUUGGACGUCGAAAUCCCGACCCUAAACUUUUUUAUUGGAUCAUGCUUGUAAGUGUUUCCACUUAGAGGAAAAAGUUUGUGAAAAAUUGAAAUU